rnacentral:rRNA from 1 species
UACGGAGGGUGCAAGCGUUAUCCGGAUUCACUGGGUUUAAAGGGUGCGUAGGUGGGCUAGUAAGUCAGUGGUGAAAUCUCCGGGCUUAACCCGGAAACUGCCAUUGAUACUAUUAGUCUUGAAUACCAUGGAGGUGAGCGGAAUAUGUCAUGUAGCGGUGAAAUGCUUAAAUAUGACAUAGAACACCAAUUGCGAAGGCAGCUCGCUACGCGGUUAUUGACACUGAGGCACGAAAGCGUGGGGAUCAAACAGG